UUUAGCCUAUAUUUAAUACUUCAUGCAAGUGUUCAAACGUUCGAUGUGACAAAGUGAAAAAUUUUAGGGUGGGAUCUAAACAGGACCUAAAUCUCGAUCUUAUUGCUGCUUCUGUGAUAAGAAAGUUCAUAUAGUGCCAGCAGACCAUUGGGAAGGGAUGGGGCCUUCUAAUGCGAUGCCCCCUCCGUACACAAAUAUAGCAAGAGAUAGUAUUGGAUUAUAUACAUAUUAAUACUACGAAUCUACAUGAGUAGCAAAUAUUCAAGAGUUGUGACUCUGUUCAUUUUGACUAUCAAGCAUACACAUGGUAUAUUUGUAAUAAUCAACAGGUGGUGUAAAAAUUAAUAUAUAAAUUGUUGCAUUUUAAUAUAACAUUAAGCAAACGCAUAACAUUAUAAUAGCAAUGCUGUGAAAUUUUCUGAAUUAAUUACUAAUAUUGUAGUUCGGUAUGCAUAUAUUUACAGUUGUCUAUCUACCUAAAAACCAUGAAUUAUACAAGAUAGACAUUUACUAACGAUGAAUAUAUGUACAUGAAGCACAAAUGUGGAGUAUAAAACAGCCAUAAUUCUCAAAAAAAAAAAAGCCAUUCUUACCUUAGUGAAUAAACAAAUUAAUGAUUCGCUUGCAAUUAAUGGAUCCGCAAUUCGCAGUUUGAUUAUGGCAUGAUAUAUAUGCAUAUUCUUUCGGUCAUUUAUUCAAAAAAACUUGUUCGCAAAAUCAUCAGUAGUUUUGUUUUUCCAGUAGUGUCCAAAUAAAAAAAAUGAUAGAAAUUAGUUUGUCCAGAGACAACGCCACUUACCUAACUGAAAGGACCCCACUUGCGAUAAGUUGAAUUAUUAUAUGGUGAGAUAUAUAUUAGCCAAUAAGUGAUGUGUCAUUUUAGGGGUACAGUAAACCUUAUAUCUCUAAUCUAUAAUAUUAAUUAAUUAGAUAACUUUGUAAUUAACCACGUAUAUAUAUUUUUUACUGGUUAAGUGUUUAGUGGAUGCUUAACAUUUCUGCAUUUACCUCUAUAUGCUUAGAUGUUAGAUCAACUGACCAUGACACAUUCAGUGGCCGAUUGAAACGGUCGGGUUAAAGUUUAGGCACUGAUAUUCCCCACCAGUAAAUAAAAUAUUAAGUUAUUGCUAAGCAAAGCAUAAACCACUAACUUAGUGGGAAAUACUAUCGCUAGUGUAGGAUGAUUUCUGCAUAAUUUAUUAUUUCAACGACAAAGAUUGGGCCACGUAGUCAAACGAAAUCUUUAAAAUUACGAUAUUAUGACUUAUUUUAUUUUAACUUGCCACAGUAAAAAGAUGAAAAUUUGGGUGUCAUUUUGCACUAACUAGAUUCUACUGGUCCAACAGAACAAAAGGAGAACCUUUAAUUUUACAUCCCACAUGAAUGUUUUUCUAUACUAGUGUAGCAUUCACGAGCCAUUUUUUUGUAAGCUUUUCUCACUAUAUAAAGUGUAGCUGACCGAACCCGUAGCCUUCACUACACAGUUGAAUCCGAACGAAUUCUUCCUCUCCUACAGUAGUAGAGAUUUUUCCAGGCAGCUAUAGGUUUGAUCACCAUGAAGGAGAAACUGAAGGCGAGGUUUCAGAUCAUCGCCGUCUUGCUCGCCUUCGCCAUGGUAGCUCAAGCUAUGGCGAUUCGCGGCACGGGUACGACGGCGGAGCAGGAUAACACCGGAGGGAGCACGAGUGCGAAACAUACCCUGCCUCAGGCUGUUGGAAGUGGCACCUCUGUGGACAACCACCAUGCCAUCCCUCGUGAUCAGUACAGCAACCAUGGGGGUGAUGAUGGAGGUGGCAGUACUGGUACUGGUGAUACAAACAACUAGUGAGUUGAUGAUCAUGGAUGUGUGGAGAUUAAUUUCUGAGCUUGAUGUGAGGGGAGAUUUAAAUAUAUAUGUUGUGUUAAUUAAGGUACUAAGUACUGGUUGUGAUGUUGUUUUGAUAUCAGUAGCCCUAAUCCUGAGAAUAAGCUGCUUCUCUUCAUGGGGAUAGAGGAGAGCUUCUAAAUAUCAAUGUAUGCAAUAUUUCUGUUGUGUGCCAUAAGCUGUUUACUCUUAUGACAAAUUAAUUAAAUCUAUUGUCCAGAAAACGACCAGCUUAGUUCA